AGGAAACGUAAACCUAACCAGUGACUAAUGGAAAAGGAACUGAUUGUUUACCUGGCAAGGAAGAAUCCAGAACGAACAGAAGCUCGAGUUUACUGGACAGGAUAAUUACUAGAAAAUCCAGCUAAUCAUUUGUUCAGAAGCAGCAACAUUCUUCUUGAUUUCAUUUUGUUAGGACUGGCACAGGAAUAAAAGUAAACAGCAGUGCUUCCCAGAUUCAUAUGAUCUUCCAGCAAGUAUUUCAGAAAGUGUAAGCAUACGAAGAAAUCAAAACUCUUAAGUUAUACUACUAAGAAUUACCUUAAUUAUCCUCAUCUUCAGCUGUAAAAUCUGUGACUUCUACACAACAGGGGUGUCAAAAAUCUGGCCCAUGGGGUGCUUAGAUUUGGCCCGUUGGGCUGCCCUGGAAACGGCAAAGGACCAGCCCAUGGUGCCUCUGCCAGCAAAAAUGGAGCUUGGGGGGGCUGCAUGCGCCCCCCCCCGGGCUACAUUUUUGGCUGUGACAGCCUCCUGCAGCCCUCUGCCAGUGAAAGCAGAGCUCAGAGGCACACACCUAUUUUUGUUGGCAGAGCCCUGCAAGAGGCCGUCCCAGCCGAAAACAGAAACUGGGGGGGGGGGACUGCCCGGGACACCACAGGUGCCCCAGAUAUGAGUGUCAUUGAGCUGGCCACGCCUACCUGGACACAUGCCCCCGGUCCCCCUGAGAUCAAACACAACCCUGAUGCGCCCCUAAAUGAAAUCGCAUUUGACACCCCUGUUCUACAAGCACGUUGUUCUAAAAGCUUUCACGUUAUAGAAAUUAGUUUGGGUAAAAAAGAAAAAAAAAUAAUGAUCUAAAUAAUCCCCAGAUACUAACAAAGGUGACCCACAUUCUACUCAUCACUUCAGAGUUAAAAUUUGUAAAACCUUGAAUGUUACUAUUUCUAGAUCUUUGAUAUACCCAAAUAAAGGAAGGUGGUGUGAUGUGAUCCCUCUUACUGAAUAGGAAAGGGAGGAUAGAACCAGUUCUUUAUAGUGAGAAAUAAAUACCCAAACAGAACAGGAUUUAGUUUAGGAGGUGUGAGGUUUCUAGUGUGAGGUUUCUCACCCCAUUCCUAAGAGGUCUGUAAGGGGUGGGCAUAAAUGCACCAGCGUGCCUACUGUCCCUGUCCUAAUAUUCCUUUUUAUUUACUCUUUUCAGGUAUUCAAAUUAUGUUUAUACUUUUACCUGUUAUUUUAUAUAUGCUUGACAAAUAAACUUAUGAAAAGUCUGA